GGGGUUGUGGCUCAGCGGUAGAGCGCUUGCCUGGUAUGUGUGAGGCCCUGUGUUCGAAUCUCAGCACCA
rnacentral:tRNA from 1 species